UACGUAGGGUGCGAGCGUUGUCCGGAUUUAUUGGGCGUAAAGAGCUCGUAGGCGGUUUGUCGCGUCGGCCGUGAAAUCUCCACGCUUAACGUGGAGCGUGCGGUCGAUACGGGCAGACUUGAGUUCGGUAGGGGAGACUGGAAUUCCUGGUGUAGCGGUGAAAUGCGCAGAUAUCAGGAGGAACACCGGUGGCGAAGGCGGGUCUCUGGGCCGAUACUGACGCUGGAGGCAACGAAAAGCGUGGGGAGCAAACAGG
rnacentral:rRNA from 1 species